rnacentral:lncRNA from 1 species
AUUUUUACAUACAUUGUUUUUUAAAGCUCAUGAAAUCGAAAUCUUUGUCUGUUUGUGUCCAGAACAAAUGGUUUUUGGUUGAUAACAUAUGAUUGAAUGAAUGAAUAAAUAGUUUAUUAGAGUGCAACCUGAAUUUAUACAAUAUCAUGUACAUUGAGUAUUAGCAUAAUGAUUCAGCCAGCCAAAUAGGAUUAUGAUGCACUAUCAUGUUUCAACUUAGCA